UAGGGAAUCUUCCGCAAUGGACGCAAGUCUGACGGAGCAACGCCGCGUGAGUGAAGAAGGAUUUCGGUUCGUAAAACUCUGUUGUUAGAGAAGAACAGCGCAUAGAGUAACUGUUAUGCGUGUGACGGUAUCUAACCAGAAAGCCACGGCUAACUACGUGCCAGCAGCCGCGGUAAUACGUAGGUCCCGAGCGUUGUCCGGAUUUAUUGGGCGUAAAGCGAGCGCAGGCGGUUAGAUAAGUCUGAAGUUAAAGGCAGUGGCUCAACCAUUGUAGGCUUUGGAAACUGUUUAACAUGAGUGCAGAAGGGGAGAGGGGAAUUCCAUGUGUAGCGGUGAAAUGCGUAGAUAUAUGGAGGAACACCGGUGGCGAAAGCGUCUCUCUGGUCUGUAACUGACGCUGAGGCUCGAAAGCGUGGGGAGCGAACAGG
rnacentral:rRNA from 1 species